GAUGAACGCUGGCGGCGUGCUUAAUACAUGCAAGUCGAACGAACAAAAUCAGAAAGCUUGCUUUUUGAUCGAGUUAGUGGCGAACGGGUGAGUAAUACGUAGGCAACCUACCUCAAAGAGGGGGAUAGCAGUUGGAAACGACUAUUAAUACCGCAUAGGUAAUGAAGGGGCAUCCCUACAUUAUUAAAGGUGCGUUUGCACCGCUGUGAGAUGGGCUUACGCUGUAUUAGCUUGUUGGUGAGGUAACGGCCCACCAAGGCGAUGAUACAUAGCCGGUCUGAGAGGAUGAACGGCCACAUUGGAACUGAGACACGGUCCAGACUCC
rnacentral:rRNA from 1 species